GAUGGGAAUGGAUUUCGAGCGCUUUAAAACAGUAGUCCGGAGACACCCGGAGGCUGUAAGAGCUGCUCUGGAGUCACAAGAGGUGCCGAAUUGUGUUUUUAGAUCCUUUUCUGUCUUCCAGAAUUUUUCGAAAGAGUGGACGGCAGAAGUAUUUGUGAAUCUGGAGAUUCAGAACUAGAAGCCACAACAUUCGUUUUGUUCAUGGUCGAGCAUGGUAUGAAGUGCGAUAUGGACAUGUGUCACAUCGUCUACAGAAGGUUCGGUGAUUGCAUCCUCUUUCGCACUUUACUGCACCUAGAUAUAGAAUUAGAUAAGAACAAGUACAAAAGUCUCCUAACGUAUCAAACUGUAAUGGUCGUAUACCUCGUAAACAUUACUUUAAGCGUAGAAGAUAUCGCUGCAUUAAUUUCAGAAAAAUCGGCCGUUGGUCAGUAUACAAUUUGGGAUGUCCCUCGUUUGAACUUGUCCCCAUCAUGGUUUUACCAAUGGAUUCCCUAUGAUGUACUGCGCUUACUAGAUUUCUGCGUUAACCCAAAAUUAAGAACUGCCAUAUUAACGAUAGAAAACUUGCCGAAAGUUGUUGCAAAAAAAAUAAACGUUCUUCCAAGGGUGCCUUCUUUGGUGGAACUGGCUAGAGACGCCUCCAGGAAACACAUCGUUGAAAGAUUUGAGGUGAAAACAGCAAAAGAGUUUUAUUCAAUAGUGAACGGUCUUCCUAUAGGCGAAAGUAACAAGAAAAUAAUCAAAUUUGAAACGCCGUUAUACCAUAUGUACGUGCCUAGUGAUGAGGAAGGUAAUGGACAUGGUCGAUAACCGUUACAAUUUAUUGUCACCGCCAUUUUCAGGUGACUACAACAUUAACAGUGACAGUGACAGCGACAGAAUUGAAGAACUUCUGUACGAUAUGUACGUGCCCACGGACAGUGAAGAGGUAGAAAGUGACGAUGAGAGUGAAAGUGAAAAUUUUGAAGAGGAUAUGUUGUGAUUUAGCUGAAAAAUGUCUCCCAUUUGAAAUUUGGAAAGAAAUACCUAUUUGGCGUCCACCCAUCUAUCGCUUCAGAAUGCCUGUAUAUUCGUACCUGGAUGUCUCUCCAUUUCAUCUGCCUAGACCAUGGCUUGGACCCAAAUUUUAUCCACAAAGACAAGAAGACCAUUUUCCGCCUUAUUUUGGAUGGGUUUCAUUGGAACGGAAUCUACGAUGAACGCCUAGACGAGACGGUAGCCAUGUUACUCUAUUAUGGAGGCAACCCCGCAAUAGAAAGUCGCACUGAUAACUGCUCCGAAUUGUUUGGUCCAUACAGCGCGUUCGACUUUGUGUCGCUGCAGAUGUAUGAUCAAGUAUCAAAUUUUGUUUUCCAGGAACUGUUCAUGCAUACCAUGAACGAUGACUCCAAGUAUGGCAAACUGCGUUUGCAGACGUUUCUUCACCUAGUCUACAAGCAAAAGUUCUUGGAGAAAUCACAAGACCGCAAU